CCUGUUGUAGCUCAGUGGUAGAGCAUUGGCUGUAUAAGCCAAAGAUAGUGGGUUUCGAUCCCCAAGCAGUA
rnacentral:tRNA from 1 species